AGUGCAUGUGGUGGAUGCCUUGGCAGUCAGAGGCGAUGAAAGACGUGAUAGCCUGCGAAAAGCUCCGGGGAGGCGGCAAAUAUCCUUUGAUCCGGAGAUGUCUGAAUGGGGGAACCCACCUACUUUAAGGUAGGUAUUGCAACAUGAAUACAUAGUGUUGCAAGGCGAACGAGGGGAAGUGAAACAUCUCAGUACCCUUAGGAAAAGAAAUCAAUUGAGAUUCCCUCAGUAGCGGCGAGCGAACGGGGAUCAGCCCAUUAAGUUAUGUGUGUUUUAGUGGAACGCUCUGGGAAGUGCGAACGUAGAGGGUGAUAUUCCCGUACACGAAAGGGCACACAUAAUGAUGACGAGUAGGGCGAGGCACGUGAAACCUUGUCUGAAUAUGGGGGGACCAUCCUCCAAGGCUAAAUACUCCUGACUGACCGAUAGUGAACCAGUACCGUGAGGGAAAGGCGAAAAGAACCCCUGUGAGGGGAGUGAAAUAGAUCCUGAAACCGCAUGCAUACAAGCAGUGGGAGCACCUUCGUGGUGUGACUGCGUACCUUUUGUAUAAUGGGUCAGCGACUUAUAUUCAGUAGCGAGGUUAACCGUAUAGGGGAGCCGUAGAGAAAUCGAGUCUUAAUAGGGCGUUUAGUUGCUGGGUAUAGACCCGAAACCAGGCGAUCUAUCCAUGAGCAGGUUGAAGGUUGGGUAACACUAACUGGAGGACCGAACCCACUGUCGUUGAAAAGCCAGGGGAUGACUUGUGGAUAGGGGUGAAAGGCUAAUCAAGCCUGGUGAUAGCUGGUUCUCCCCGAAAGCUAUUUAGGUAGCGCCUCGGACGAAUACCAUAGGGGGUAGAGCACUGUUUCGGCUAGGGGGUCAUCCCGACUUACCAAACCGAUGCAAACUCCGAAUACCUAUGAGUACUAUCCGGGAGACAGACUGCGGGUGCUAACGUCCGUAGUCAAGAGGAAAACAAUCCAGACCGCCAGCUAAGGCCCCAAAAUCAUAGUUAAGUGGGAAACGAUGUGGGAAGGCAUAGACAGCUAGGAGGUUGGCUUAGAAGCAGCCACCCUUUAAAGAAAGCGUAAUAGCUCACUAGUCGAGUCGGCCUGCGCGGAAGAUGUAACGGGGCUAAAACUAUGUGCCGAAGCUGCGGAUUUGACAUUAGUCAAGUGGUAGGGGAGCGUUCUGUAAGCCGAUGAAGGUGUAUUGAGAAGUAUGCUGGAGGUAUCAGAAGUGCGAAUGCUGACGUGAGUAACGACAAAACGGGUGAAAAACCCGUUCGCCGAAAGACCAAGGGUUCCAGUCCAACGUUAAUCGGGGCUGGGUGAGUCGACCCCUAAGGCGAGGCCGAAAGGCGUAGUCGAUGGGAAAAUGGUUAAUAUUCCAUUACUUCUGUGUAAUGCGAUGAGAGGACGGAGAAGGCUAAAUCAGCCUGGCGUUGGUUGUCCAGGUGAAAGGAUGUAGGCAUGUAUCUUAGGCAAAUCCGGGGUACUCUAUGCUGAGAUCUGAUAGCAAGCUGUACUUGUACAGCGAAGUGGUUGAUGCCAUGCUUCCAGGAAAAGUCUCUAAGCUUCAGUUACACAGGAAUCGUACCCGAAACCGACACAGGUGGUCAGGUCGAGUAGACCAAGGCGCUUGAGAGAACUCUGCUGAAGGAACUAGGCAAAAUGGUACCGUAACUUCGGGAGAAGGUACGCUGUUGUUGGUGAUGGAACUCGCUUCCUGAGCUGACGACAGCCGCAGAAACCAGGCCGCUGCAACUGUUUAUUAAAAACAUAGCACUCUGCAAACACGAAAGUGGACGUAUAGGGUGUGAUGCCUGCCCGGUGCUGGAAGGUUAAUUGAUGGGGUUAGCGUAAGCGAAGCUCUUGAUCGAAGCCCCAGUAAACGGCGGCCGUAACUAUAACGGUCCUAAGGUAGCGAAAUUCCUUGUCGGGUAAGUUCCGACCUGCACGAAUGGCAUAAUGAUGGCGGCGCUGUCUCCAGCAGAGGCUCAGUGAAAUCGAAAUCGCUGUGAAGAUGCAGUGUACCCGCGGCUAGACGGAAAGACCCCGUGAACCUUUACUGCAGCUUGACACUGAACUUUGACCUUACUUGUGUAGGAUAGGUGGGAGGCUUUGAAGCUGGAACGCUAGUUCCAGUGGAGCCGUCCUUGAAAUACCACCCUGGUAAUGUUGAGGUUCUAACUCUGUCCCGUGAUCCGGGACGAGGACCGUGUCUGGUGGGUAGUUUGACUGGGGCGGUCUCCUCCUAAAGAGUAACGGAGGAGUACGAAGGUGCGCUCAGCGUGGUCGGAAAUCACGCGUAGAGUAUAAAGGCAAAAGCGCGCUUAACUGCGAGACCCACAAGUCGAGCAGGUACGAAAGUAGGUCUUAGUGAUCCGGUGGUUCUGUAUGGAAGGGCCAUCGCUCAACGGAUAAAAGGUACUCUGGGGAUAACAGGCUGAUACCGCCCAAGAGUUCAUAUCGACGGCGGUGUUU
rnacentral:rRNA from 1 species